CUCGUAGGCGGCCAACUAAGUCAGACGUGAAAUCCCCAGGCUCAACCUGGGAACUGCGUCUGAUACUGGAUGGCUUGAAUUCGGGAGAGGGAUGCAGAAUUCCAGGUGUAGCGGUGAAAUGCGUAGAUAUCUGGAGGAAUACCGGUGGCGAAGGCGGCAUCCUGGACCGACAUUGACGCUGAUGAGCGAAAGCUAGGGAGCAAACG
rnacentral:rRNA from 1 species